rnacentral:tRNA from 1 species
GUGGCGUUAGCUUAAUGGCAGAGCGUUACCACCGUUUCUCACCUCCCUUGCCCGCUCGCGGGCCGACCGAGAGAUGGUUAUCGACUUCCACUCGAAAGGUGCGGGUUCGAAUCCCGUACGCCACC